rnacentral:rRNA from 1 species
UACGUAGGGUGCAAGCGUUGUCCGGAAUUAUUGGGCGUAAAGAGCUCGUAGGCGGUUUGUUGCGUCGGCUGUGAAAACCUGAGGCUCAACCUCAGGCCUGCAGUCGAUACGAGCAGACUAGAGUGUUGCAGGGGAGACUGGAAUUCCUGGUGUAGCGGUGAAAUGCGCAGAUAUUAGGAAGAACACCGGUGGCGAAGGCGGGUCUCUGGGCAGUAACUGACGCUGAGGAGCGAAAGCGUGGGGAGCGAACAGG